UUGCUGCUGCUGCUGCUGCUGCUGCUGCUGCUGCUGUUGCUGCUGCUGCUACUGCUGCUGCUGCUACUGCUGCUGCUUGGCCCUGGCUGGAGACAUCUCACUACACCCAGGAGCAGCCACUUCCCCAGCUCUCCUCCUCCUCCUUCGCCUCCUCCUCCUCCACUCCCCCCCUUUAUUACCCUUUGUGUCAUCCUCCACAGCUCCAGGGAAGGCACUCAAAAGUGGGGGGCAGGAAAGAUGUACAUUGAAGAUGUCAGUUUCUACAUGUGGGAAGUAGACAUUGAAGGCUUUAUGGUUUACAGACAAGAUCUUUAGAAGUUAAGCACUAAAGGACCAAGGAAAUAAAUACCAGAAAUCAAGAAGAGCACAGACCAUUUUCCUUCAUCAAUCCAUAGAACCCUAAUGCUUCUUUAGUUCCAUCAAACACAGAGGAAUGACCACCAUGGCAGAUGGCAACAGAGGAUGUCAACAAUUUUUUGGAGUUUACAGGCUCAGUAGGAUGGCUUAUACCUGUAAUCCCAUCACUUCGGGAGGCCUAUGUGGUACAAUCGCUUAAGUCCAGGAGUUUGAGACCAGCCUGAGCAGCAUCGUGAGACCUCGUCGAAGAAGAAGAAGAAGAGGAAGAGGAAGAGGAAAUAAUAAUAAUGUACAGAUGAAGAAAUUAAGACUGAGAGAGGUUAGGUCUGUUGUCUAAGGUCACACACAACUAGCAAUUAUAGUAGCUGGUAUUCAAACCUGAUCAGUCUGGCUUCAAAGUGCAUUCUCUUUCUAGUAUGCUUUUGAACUGCCUAGAAAAAUAAUGGCAAUUUCUGAAAUGCAAGAGUAUGAUUCACGAUAGUUGCUAGGCAUUGUACCAAUCAGAAUUCUUAGUUUUAAACAAUAGAAGCCAGCUUUUUCUAAAGCAGAAAAGGAAUAUUUGGUAAUAUCAUAGAGCCCGCAGAAUCUGUAGGGGUGCUGGAGUACUAGACUUAAGAAACUAGUAGAAAUGAAGAAAUGUAAAGCCUUGCCAAUGUCAUACCAUAGGAAAAUUCUGCUUUGAAGUCUGCUGCUGAUACAGUUUCCACUGGACAGCCUUUAACAUGCCACUGGGUUCUGCUGCCUUUGGACACUCAUUGAAGUUUGCUGUUUCAGUGUGACCGCAGCUUCCAUGAGUAACCUCUGCCUCACUCUCACAAAAUUCAAAGUCCUGGGUGGGAGCAUUAGUUUGGUUAACAAAGGUCACAUGACUGAUGAUCAAUAACCAAAUAACUAGGAAAGGGACUAUCCCAGACUUUUUGAGAUUUCCCAAAAUAAGGAAUGUGUUCAGACACUGGGCAGCCAUCAACAGACGUAAUUUACACGUAUGUGUGCGUGUACACAC
rnacentral:sRNA from 1 species